GAGACUGCGGACUUGUUGAGCGUCUUUAUGUCUGCAGCUGCUGCCUAACAGUGGCCGACAUCCAGACUAGGGAAGUGCUCCUGCAGCUAACACUCUGCACACAAACCCUCAGAUGCUCCAUUUGCAUGGGAGAUCAGAUAGCCAGUUCCUGGAUUUUAAAAAUGUGACUGACUUGCCGAGACCAAUUCAGAAAGCAAAGGCUGUGUUCUGCGAGGAACAAGGAAAUGGGCCCAGCAUGCUUCUCAUUGCUUACCCUGAGCUUUUCCUCCCACACAGCUGCUGCUCAAGCACAAUGGACCUCGGGCAAAUACUGCAAAGC